rnacentral:rRNA from 1 species
GACGAACGCUGGCGGCGUGGAUUAGGCAUGCAAGUCGGACGGUAGGGCUUUAUCGUAAGAUAGAGUUUGAGAGUGGCGAACGGGUGAGUAACACGUAGGAAUCUACCCUUAAGACGGGGACAACCCAGGGAAACUUGGGCUAAUACCGGAUGAGAGUGCGAGAGAUUGCAUUUAAAAGGAUGGCGAAAGUUGUCGCUUAGGGAUGAGCCUGCGGUCUAUUAGUUAGUUGGUGAGGUAAGAGCUCACCAAGGCGAUGAUAGAUAGGCGGCCUUAACGGGUGUCGCCCACACUGGGAUUGAGAUACGGCCCAGACUCCUACGGGAGGCAGCAGUCGAGAAUAGUCUACAAUGGCCGGAAGGCUGAUAGUGCGACGCCGCGUGAACGAGGGAGCCCUUGGGGUGUAAAGUUCUUUUCUAUACGAGCAGUGCUAUAAUAUGGAUAGUAUAUAUAGAGGGAUAGUAGUAUAGGAAUAAGCAACGGCUAACUCCGUGCCAAGCAAGCCGAC